UCUGAUAUGGCAGAAUAGUGCAAUGAAUUUAAGAUUCGUAUAUAAAUAAAUUUUUGUUAGAA
rnacentral:tRNA from 1 species